GAGAAUCAGUUUUCUCUUAUUCUUUCGUCUUUCAUCUUUUCUUCUCUUUCUCCGUUCUUCUUCUCUUCUUUAUGUUCUUCUUUUCUGCGACAGAUUUAUCGAUUGAGAGUGAGGUUGUGAAUCAUUUCGAGAAAGUGGUAUCUGGUUGGAUUGAAGGCGAAGGUGUUACUGCUGUAGUUGUUUGGGCACGGAAAGAAGAAGAUAGAGAUGCUACUCUAAACUGAGGUUAGGGUAUUUGAAUCUUAGAUGAAGAUUCAAGAAAAUUGAUGAAUCAUUUAUGAACCCUGGUGAUUAUUGACAAAGGCGGCGUUGAUUUGAAUAUCAAUUCAGAAAACAGGAGGAGAAGAAUCGACAAGUUAAUUAGGGUUAGGAUUCUGAAAUUCAAUUUGAUGUUGAUUAAGACGAAAUUGGAGAUGGGUAGAUGUUUAAUUGAAGUUAUGAAUUUGUUUGAGGAUUGAAGCAGAAAGUUAGGGUUUCUUGAAGAAAUUGAAAGAAGAAUUUGGAGUUGAAAUUAAAGGUUUAAAGGGGAGAGUUGAGAUGGGUUUUGUUCAGGUAUGAAGUAGUAAUGUUUGCAUGUGGUUAAUUUCGAUUUCAAUUCCUCAUGUUCUUCCCCAAAUUAGAAAUUAGGAUUUUCUGGAUAUUAACUUGAAAUUUGUUUGAAUGGUGAUUUAAGAAGAGUCAGAUAAAACCGGUAGACGGGUUUGCUUGAAUUGAAGCUUGGAGUUGAACUCUGAAAGUUUGGGUGUGUGCAGCUGAAGCUAAGGUUGGAGUGUUGUUGAAGUUCAGAGACUAUGAAUUGUCGGGUAAGUCUUCAAUUUGUUUUAAUCGUAGUAGUCUGAGUUGGAUUGUUUUGAUUUCAUAGAUUCUAUAUUUACGAUUUGAACUGGGUGGAGUUAAAUGAUGAAUUGAGAAUGAUAAAGAGGAAGUGAUAGUGAAGCUGUAGAGGUUAUAUGCCGUGCUGAUGCUAGUUAGAGUUGGUGGAUGUGUAAUUAUGGGGAAGAGAUGAGUAUUGGUGGUGGUUAAUUGUCAUCCUAAUUUUGAAUUGAAGUAUGGUCUUGUGGAUGUUGAUGAAUGAUGUCCAAGUUUGGAACUGCGGGUGAAGGAUUAGUGGUAAAUAGAGAUGGUGGUAAUGUUUAUAUAAUGGCUUGAUUGUGGCUGUGGUGGUCCUGAAGUUACAGUUCAUGGGGACGGUAUUGAUGUUUUAUUCAUGGCUAGUAUGAGUUGCAGUUAUGGUUUAGAUAAAUGGAAUGAACUGGUGUUGAGUUGGGGAAGUAUAAAAGAUGUGGUAGUGGCGAGAAUCACAGUGGGUUGUUAGUGUUGAAACUGUAAUGGUGGUGGUGUUAUUGAACUUACAGAUUGUGCAGAUAGGGACUGAAAUGGGUGUGCUGGCUUGAACUGCAGUUGUGAGUACAAGUGAUGGUUCUGAACAAGGAACAUAACUAAAGUUAGUCUAGUAUGUGCAGGAUCAUGCAGUUGUUAAGGGUAAUUGUAGCUGUAAGUUGUGGACAUAGUGUUGUUGAUGUUAUGUGGAUUAGUAUUGUAGAUUGCUGAAUACAAAAGGAGUGUGACUUAGUACUGCAAUUGCAGGACGAACCAGCGGAUCGUGGAUCUCGAGGUAGGCGUGGUUUGUCAUCAAAAAAGUUUCAGAGACAGAUUAGAGUUGCGCAACGAAAGCUCCGAAAAGUUGACUUCGUUAGUUGGUUAUUUUCUGAUAUGUUUAAUAUGUUGCAUAUUGUAUAUAUAAACCAAAUGAUUAUUGUAUAUGUAUCGUUUGAGAGAAGUUCAUGUAUAUAUAUUUCUGAGCGGGGCUAGGUUUGGGUUAAGUUUUUAUAGCAGAUUUCUUAAUCGAAUGCUUAAGUUUUUGUAUUAGAUUCGUGGUGCCUCUUUAUUUAGUUAACCUCUUGGAUUAGUCAGCUGCUAGCUUUGGGGGCGCGACACAACCCAAUGUGACAGACAUUUUAGAAACAAAAAAUAAUCUUCUCUAUAUUGGUAUUUGGCAAAACAUAAGGAGAGGAGUACUGAAAAGAUCUAUCUUUUCUUUUGCAUGUACCCAAAAAAGCAACAAUAUACUCAUUAUGGCUACCUAGAUUUUCUUCUUUUGCAUGCGCACAAAAAAUAAGAUACUCAUUGUGAUUGCUUAGAUCAGUGGAAGUGAAAUAUGA